rnacentral:rRNA from 1 species
AGGAAUAUUGGACAAUGGAGGCAACUCUGAUCCAGCCAUGCCGCGUGAAGGAAUAAGGCCCUAUGGGUUGUAAACUUCUUUUAGACGGGACAAAACCCCUUUACGUGUAAAGGGUUGAUGGUACUGUCAGAAUAAGCAUCGGCUAACUUCGUGCCAGCAGCCGCGGUAAUACGAAGGAUGCAAGCGUUAUCCGGAAUUAUUGGGUUUAAAGGGUGCGUAGGCGGACUAAUAAGUCAGUGGUGAAAGCCUGCAGCUUAACUGCAGAAUUGCCAUUGAUACUGUUAGUCUUGAGUACAGUUGAGGUAGGCGGAGUGUGUCAUGUAGCGGUGAAAUGCUUAGAUAUGACACAGAACACCGAUUGCGAAGGCAGCUUGCUAAGCUGUAACUGACGCUGAGGCACGAAAGCGUGGGGAGCAAACA